ensembl:lncRNA
CAGCCAGCAGUUACCAUCUCAACCACACACAGUAACACACAGGAGGACCAGGUCACCACAUAGCCAGCAGGAGGACCAGGUCACCACAUAGCCAGCAGGAGGACCAGGUCACCACAUAGCCAGCAGGAGGACCAGGUCACCACAUAGCCAGCAGGAGGACCAGGUCACCACAUUAGCCAGCAGGAGGACCAGUUCACCACACAGCCAGCAGGAGGACAAGGUCACCACAUAGCCAGCAGGAGGACAAGGUCACCACAUAGCCAGCAGGAGGACAAGGUCACCACACAGCCAGCAGUUACCAUCUCAACCACACACAGUAACACACAGGAGGACCAGGUCACCACACAUUAUAAAAUGUAAUUAGGCAAGUCAGAUAAGAACAAAUUCUUAUUUACAAUGACGGCCUACCCCGGCCAAACCUGGGCCAAUUGUGCGCCACCCUAUGAGACUCCCAAUCACGGCCAGAUGUGAUGCAGCCUGGAUUCGAACCAUUGACUACUGUGACGCCUCUGGCACACCUCUAUCUGAGAUGCAGUGCCUUAGACCCC